rnacentral:rRNA from 1 species
GAGCAUGUGGCUUAAUUUGACUCAACGCGGGAAAUCUUACCGGGUCCGGACACACUGAGGAUUGACAGGCAAUAUUAGCACUUAGCUUCGGCGACGUGUUAUGUUAAAUAUGCUAGUCCUUUCAUGAUUAUGUGAUAGGUGGUGCAUGGCCGUUCUUAGUUCGUGGAGUGAUCUGUCUGCUUAAUUGCGUUUCACCAAGGGCCUAUAAUUUUACGUGUGUUGCGGCACUUUGACCCCUCUUUUUUUAAAGAGCGCGUGUCUUGGUUUGCUUAGCUCGCACAAUUAGGUCCUGAAAGCAACGAACGUGACCGCAACCUCUUGUUGCCUUUAUACCAAACGUGCAUAUGCAAUUUUUUAAUUGCUUUGCGCGCAAAAAGGCUUUUUAAACUAGAGGGACCGCUGUUACUUUCUUAAACCAGAGGAAGGUUGCGGCAAUAACAGGUCUGUGA